rnacentral:rRNA from 1 species
CAUUACAGAGUUGCAAAACUCCAAACCCAUGUGAACAUACCUCGUGUUGCCUCGGCGGCGAGCGUAGUGCUCGGGAGGUGCCUACCCGGUACCUACCCUGGAGGACUUGCGCAUCCGCCGGAGGACCACUCAAACUCUUGUUUCUGUGUGGCACAUCUGAGUUAUUAUAUUUAAUAAGUCAAAACUUUCAACAACGGAUCUCUUGGUUCUGGCAUCGAUGAAGAACGCAGCGAAAUGCGAUAAGUAAUGUGAAUUGCAGAAUUCAGUGAAUCAUCGAAUCUUUGAACGCACAUUGCGCCCAUUAGUAUUCUAGUGGGCAUGCCUGUUCGAGCGUCAUUAAGUCCAUUAAGCCUAGUUGCUUAGCGUUGGGAGCAUUACCGCAUGGUAACUCCUUAAAGUCAGUGGCAGGGUUACGGUACACUCUAAGCGUAGUAGAUUUCUUUCUCGCUUUUGCUGUGGCCGCGGCCGUUGCCAUAAACCUAUAUUUAAUUGGUUGACCUCGGAUCAGGUAGGAAUACCCGCUGAACUUAAGCAUAUCAAUAAGCGGAGGAAAAGAAACCAACAGGGAUUGCCUUAGUAACGGCGAGUGAAGCGGCAACAGCUCAAAUUUGAAAUCUGGCCCCAGGUCCGAAUUGUAAUUUGUAGAGGAUGCUUUUGGUGCGGUACCUUCCGAGUUCCCUGGAACGGGACGCCUUAGAGGGUGAGAGCCCCGUACGGUUGGAUGCCUAGCCUCUGUAAAGCUCCUUCGACGAGUCGAGUAGUUUGGGAAUGCUGCUCUAAAUGGGAGGUAAAUUUCUUCUAAAGCUAAAUACCGGCCAGAGACCGAUAGCGCACAAGUAGAGUGAUCGAAAGAUGAAAAGCACUUUGAAAAGAGGGUUAAAUAGUACGUGAAAUUGUUGAAAGGGAAGCGCUUAUGACCAGACUUUUGCCUUGCGGAUCAUCCGGUGUUCUCACCGGUGCACUUCGCUUGGUUAAGGCCAGCGUCGAUUUUAGUAGGGGGAUAAAGGCUGGGGAA